rnacentral:rRNA from 1 species
GAUGAACGCUGGCGGCGUGCCUAAUACAUGCAAGUCGAGCGAACAGACGAGGAGCUUGCUCCUCUGACGUUAGCGGCGGACGGGUGAGUAACACGUGGAUAACCUACCUAUAAGACUGGGAUAACUUCGGGAAACCGGAGCUAAUACCGGAUAAUAUAUUGAACCGCAUGGUUCAAUAGUGAAAGACGGUUUUGCUGUCACUUAUAGAUGGAUCCGCGCCGCAUUAGCUAGUUGGUAAGGUAACGGCUUACCAAGGCAACGAUGCGUAGCCGACCUGAGAGCGUGAUCGGCCACACUGGAACUGAGACACGGACCAGACUCCUACGGGAGGAAGCAGUAGGGAAUCUUCCGCAAUGGGCGAAAGCCUGACGGAGCAACGCCGCGUGAGUGAUGAAGGUCUUCGGAUCGUAAAACUCUGUUAUUAGGGAAGAACAAAUGUGUAAGUAACUAUGCACGUCUUGACGGUAGCUAAUCAGAAAGCCACGGCUAACUACGUG